rnacentral:tRNA from 1 species
GCCCGAGUGGUGGAAUGGUAGACGCAGCGGAUUCAAAAUCCGCCGCCGCAAGGCUUGUCGGUUCGAGUCCGACCUCGGGCACCA